GACGAACGCUGGCGGCGUGCUUAACACAUGCAAGUCGAACGGAAAGGCCCUGCUUUUGUGGGGUGCUCGAGUGGCGAACGGGUGAGUAACACGUGAGUAACCUGCCCUUGACUUUGGGAUAACUUCAGGAAACUGGGGCUAAUACCGGAUAGGAGCUCCUGCUGCAUGGUGGGGGUUGGAAAGUUUCGGCGGUUGGGGAUGGACUGGCGGCUUAUCAGCUUGUUGGUGGGGUAGUGGCUUACCAAGGCUUUGACGGGUAGCCGGCCUGAGAGGGUGACCGGCCACAUUGGGACUGAGAGACGGCCCAGAAUCCUACGGGAGGCAGCAGUGGGGAAUAUUGCACAAUGGGCGGAAGCCUGAUGCAGCAACGCCGCGUGCGGGAUGACGGCCUUCGGGUUGUAAACCGCUUUCGCCUGUGACGAAGCGUGAGUGACGGUAAUGGGUAAAGAAGCACCGGCUAACUACGUG
rnacentral:rRNA from 1 species